GCAAGUCGAACGCUGAAGCUUGGUGCUUGCACUGGGUGGAUGAGUGGCGAACGGGUGAGUAAUACGUGAGUAACCUGCCCUUGACUCUGGGAUAAGCCUGGGAAACUGGGUCUAAUACUGGAUACGACAUGUCACCGCAUGGUGGUGUGUGGAAAGGGUUCUACUGGUUUUGGAUGGGCUCACGGCCUAUCAGCUUGUUGGUGGGGUAAUGGCUCACCAAGGCGACGACGGGUAGCCGGCCUGAGAGGGUGACCGGCCACACUGGGACUGAGACACGGCCCAGACUCCUACGGGAGGCAGCAGUGGGGAAUAUUGCACAAUGGGCGAAAGCCUGAUGCAGCGACGCCGCGUGAGGGAUGACGGCCUUCGGGUUGUAAACCUCUUUCAGCACGGAAGAAGCGAAAGUGACGGUACGUGCAGAAGAAGCGCCGGCUAACUACGUGCCAGCAGCCGCGGUAAUACGUAGGGCGCAAGCGUUGUCCGGAAUUAUUGGGCGUAAAGAGCUCGUAGGCGGUUUGUCGCGUCUGCU
rnacentral:rRNA from 1 species